rnacentral:sRNA from 1 species
CACUGGUCGAGAGUUCUCGCCGCUCUCCUGAUGAGUCCUAGGCAGGAAAAAACCAGUA